rnacentral:rRNA from 2 species
ACCCGCUGAAUUUAAGCAUAUAAGUAAGCGGAGGAUAAGAAACUAAAUAGGAUUCCCUCAGUAAUGGCGAAUGAACAGGGAUAAGCUCAACAUGGAAAUCGUGGCCUCUGGCCUUGAAUUGUAAUCUCAAGAUGUGCUGCUAACGGGGGCGCAGGUGUAAGCCUCUUGGAAAAGAGCAUCAACGAGGGUGAGAAUCCUGUUUGUCACCUGCAGUCCUCCGUGUACGGCGUACACUCUACGAGUCACGUUCCUCGGGAUUGGAGCGCAAACUGGGUGGUAAAUUUCAUCUCAAGCUAAAUAUGGGUUCGAAACCGAUAGCAAACAAGUACCAUGAGGGAAAGAUGAAAAGGACUUUGAAAAGAGAGUUAAAAGUGCCUGAACUUGCUGAAAGGAAAGCGGAUGGAACCAGUCUUGCUUGGCGAGAUUGUUGCGUGCCACAGUGAUUCACCUCGGUUUCAGCGCAAGCGUUGCUGUGGCGUUUGAUCUGGGCGCACGUGAUGCUUCUUGCCUUGUUUGUCAUCGUCUGUUUGGGGGUGAGGAUACCUCUCGGGACAUGACAGCUUGCCCCUGGGUGAGCGAACGUGCCUUGCAGAACUCACGUCCAAACUGAUAUGAUGACUGAAUGGUUCUAUUCGACCCGUCUUGAAACACGGACCAAGGAGUCUAACAUAUGUGCGAGUUCUUGGGUGGAGAAACCUACGUGCGCAAUGAAAGUGAGUACUGAGACAUUAGCAUCAGCAGCCGACCAAUCGAUUGGGAGAGGUUUGAGCAUGAGCAUAUCUGUUAGGACCCGAAAGAUGGUGAACUAUGCCUGAGAAGGGUGAAGUCUGGGGAAACUCAGAUGGAGGCUCGUAGCGAUACUGACGUGCAAAUCGUUCGUCAUACUUGGGUAUAGGGGCGAAAGACUAAUCGAACCAUCUAGUAGCUGGUUCCCUCCGA